rnacentral:rRNA from 1 species
GACGAACGCUGGCGGCGUGCUUAACACAUGCAAGUCGAACGGAAAGGCCCUGCUUUUGUGGGGUGCUCGAGUGGCGAACGAGUGAGUAACACGUGAGUAACCUGCCCUUGACUUUGGGAUAACUUCAGGAAACUGGGGCUAAUACCGGAUAGGAGCUCCUGCUGCAUGGUGGGGGUUGGAAAGUUUCGGCGGUUGGGGAUGGACUCGCGGCUUAUCAGCUUGUUGGUGGGGUAGUGGCUUACCAAGGCUUUGACGGGUAGCCGGCCUGAGAGGGUGACCGGCCACAUUGGGACUGAGAUACGGCCCAGACUCCUACGGGAGGCAGCAGUGGGGAAUAUUGCACAAUGGGCGGAAGCCUGAUGCAGCAACGCCGCGUGCGGGAUGACGGCCUUCGGGUUGUAAACCGCUUUCGCCUGUGACGAAGCGUGAGUGACGGUAAUGGGUAAAGAAGCACCGGCUAACUACGUGCCAGCAGCCGCGGUGAUACGUAGGGUGCGAGCGUUGUCCGGAUUUAUUGGGCGUAAAGGGCUCGUAGGUGGUUGAUCGCGUCGGAAGUGUAAUCUUGGGGCUUAACCCUGAGCGUGCUUUCGAUACGGGUUGACUUGAGGAAGGUAGGGGAGAAUGGAAUUCCUGGUGGAGCGGUGGAAUGCGCAGAUAUCAGGAGGAACACCAGUGGCGAAGGCGGUUCUCUGGGCCUUUCCUGACGCUGAGGAGCGAAAGCGUGGGGAGCGAACAGGCUUAGAUACCCUGGUAGUCCACGCUGUAAACGGUGGGUACCAGGUGUGGGGUCCAUUCCACGGGUUCCGUGCCGUAGCUAACGCUUUAAGUACCCCGCCUGGGGAGUACGGCCGCAAGGCUAAAACUCAAAGGAAUUGACGGGGCCCCGCACAAGCGGCGGAGCAUGCGGAUUAAUUCGAUGCAACGCGUAGAACCUUACCUGGGUUUGACAUGGAUCGGGAGUGCUCAGAGAUGGGUGUGCCUCUUUUGGGGUCGGUUCACAGGUGGUGCAUGGCUGUCGUCAGCUCGUGUCGUGAGAUGUUGGGUUAAGUCCCGCAACGAGCGCAACCCUUGUUCACUGUUGCCAGCACGUUAUGGUGGGGACUCAGUGGAGACCGCCGGGGUCAACUCGGAGGAAGGUGGGGAUGACGUCAAGUCAUCAUGCCCCUUAUGUCCAGGGCUUCACGCAUGCUACAAUGGCUGGUACAGAGAGUGGCGAGCCUGUGAGGGUGAGCGAAUCUCGGAAAGCCGGUCUCAGUUCGGAUUGGGGUCUGCAACUCGACCUCAUGAAGUCGGAGUCGCUAGUAAUCGCAGAUCAGCAACGCUGCGGUGAAUACGUUCCCGGG